rfam:Gossypium arboreum cultivar AKA8401 contig_7186_3, whole genome shotgun sequence.
UGUUAAAAAUUACAUCCAUUUGUAUUCUUAAAAUUGAUGUGACUGAUGAAUAAAUCAAAUAGUGACAUAUGAUUUAUCAUGUGUACCUCAUGUUGACAAACUAAGACCAAUUUUUAACUGUAGAAAUCGAUAAGUUUUUUAACA